rnacentral:misc_RNA from 1 species
GAUGAAGAACGUAGCGAAAUGCGAUAAGUAAUGUGAAUUGCAGAAUUCAGUGAAUCAUCGAAUCUUUGAACGCACAUUGCGCCCCCCAGUAUUCUGGCGGGCAUGCCUGUUCGAGCGUCAUUUCAACCAUCAAGCCCUGCUUGUGUUGGGGUCCUGCGGCUGCCCGCAGGCCCUGAAAACCAGUGGCGGGCUCACUAGUCACACCGAGCGCAGUAGCACAUCUCGCUCAGGGCGUGCGGCGGGCUCCAGCCGUUAAAGCACCCACCUUUCGCAAGGUUGACCUCGGAUCAGGUAGGAAUACCCGCUGAACUUAAGCAUAUCAAUAAGCGGAGGA